rnacentral:rRNA from 1 species
CCUACGGGAGGCAGCAGUAGGAAUCUUCGGCAACGGACGAAAGUCUGACCGAGCAACGCCGCGUGAGUGAAGAAGGUUUUCGGAUCGUAACACUCUGUUGGUCGAGAAGAACGUUGGUGAUAGUGGAACGCUCAUCCAGUGACGGUAACUACCCAGACAGGGCCGGCUAACUACGUGCCAGCAGCCGCGGUAAUACGUAGGUCCCGAGCGUUGUCCGGAUUUAUUGGGCGUAAAGCGAGCGCAGGUGGUUUAUUAAGUCUGGUGUAAAAGGCAGUGGCUCAACCAUUGUAUGCAUUGGAAACUGGUAGACUGGAGUGCAGGAGAGGAGAGUGGAAUUCCAUGUGUAGCGGUGAAAUGCGUAGAUAUAUGGAGGAACACCGGUGGCGAAAGCGGCUCGCUGGACUGUAACUGACACUGAGGCUCGAAAGCGUGGGGAGCAAACAGGAUUAGAUACCCUUGUAGUC